rnacentral:lncRNA from 1 species
UGUGGAUCAAUGUGUGGACCAAUGCAAGGCUCAAUGCAAAUCAAGCUCAAAGGUAAAUCAUGCAUUGCAUGCAUUAGAUUGCUUAUUGACAUGCCUAGUCAACGUACUGACUAGUCAUUAGUUGAAACAUACUUUUAUUGCUAGCUCAUUUAUUUUCUCCCGCGAGACACACACUUUUCCAACUGUAUGUUUUCUAUCCUAACAGUUUUCGUCUCAUUAUUGCCUCAAUCAUUAGCCGCCAAGUGCAUUGAUUUCUUACCUAGCUAUUUUGGGUAAAAGGGGAGCUUUAGGUUGGUGUAGCCGUCACUUUUCAUAUAGAGAAUAUUGAGGAAUUCUUCUUCUCUGUUUUUUUCUUUUGUGUGAGUCCACAGUUUUUCCAAAAUGAAAAUUUCAAAAAAUUUUUUAAAUCUAUUUUGAGUUUUUCAAGUAAGUAUCUGAGGGAAUCAUACGCAUUAUCAUCUAGAUCUAGGUCAUAUUGUUCAAUCAAUUUCUUAAAGAAUGGUUGCUUGAAGAAGUCAAUUCCUUCUUUCAUUGAAUCUACAUUUCAUCGAUCUGUUUAAACCUGAGCUGAGUCAUCGGUUCAAUGGAGUGAAGGAGUUGAUGGAUUAGUUGCCACUUAUAUGAAGGAUUACUAGCUGCUAGCUCAACUAAUUUAGAGAAAAAGGUUGCACAUGGAGGUAGUGCUCAUUUCUUAAAUAGACCUAAGACUGCUUUGCUUAUGAUUACUUUUUCUGUAAGAACUUUCUUGACUUAGUAGAUUACCUGAUCGAAUGAUGACCCCCAUUUUUUUUUGUUUUUCUCCUCCAAUGGUUGGUUUCUGGGUGAUCAAAUUUGGUGCUUUGUUCUUGAAUUUAUGACUAGUCAUAUUAUGUCUAUUAUCUCUAUAGUGCUUUAAUGAAUGUUCACACACCAUUCACUCUAGUUGUUGCUAGUGUAAGGGAUGCUUAGAUUCUAGGGAGACUUUAGAAAAGCCCAAAGGAGAGGUUUUUCUGUCUUUUUUAAAAAAGCUUUGGCUUUUUCCAAAAGUGAAAGUUUUUUUAUGGGUAAAACCUAAAUUUACUUAGAUUCUAACCAAUUUAGAGAAAAAGGUUGCACAUGGUUCUCUUUUAGCCUUACAGGUUCUAAUAUUUGAUUUGUAGUGAGUCUGUGAUGUGCUUGUUUGCUCAUAGGUCUAAGACUAGUUCACUAGUCAUAUUGUUACUAGGAACACUUAUUCAUAUUGUUGCCUUAGAUAUGUCCAUUGGGUUUUUUUUUAUUUUCCUGAGUACAUGCGAUAGUCUAAACUACAGGGGAGGGGAAAUCUCAAACACACACACAACUAUGAUGUCGUGGGGAUUCGAACCUGAGACCUCUGGUCUACAAGUCAAUGCUAUUUUCCACUAGACCCGUUGACUAUUGAGGUCGUAGGGAUAUAUAUAAUUGAAAAAAUAAACAAAGUUUGUUUUUAAUUCCUACACAAACCAAAUAUGGGAAAUAAAAUGAAAUGAUAUUCUUAAUUACGCUCCCAACCUUGCCAA